rnacentral:rRNA from 1 species
AUUGAACGCUGGCGGCAGGCCUAACACAUGCAAGUCGAGCGGAUGAAGGGAGCUUGCUCCUGGAUUCAGCGGCGGACGGGUGAGUAAUGCCUAGGAAUCUGCCUGGUAGUGGGGGAUAACGUCCGGACACGGGCGCUAAUACCGCAUCCGUCCAGAGGGAGAAAGUGGGGGAUCUUCGGACCUCACGCUAUCAGAUGAGCCUAGGUCGGAUUAGCUAGUUGGUGGGGUAAAGGCCUACCAAGGCGACGAUCCGUAACUGGUCUGAGAGGAUGAUCAGUCACACUGGAACUGAGACACGGUCCAGACUCCUACGGGAGGCAGCAGUGGGGAAUAUUGGACAAUGGGCGAAAGCCUGAUCCAGCCAUGCCGCGUGUGUGAAGAAGGUCUUCGGAUUGUAAAGCACUUUAAGUUGGGAGGAAGGGCAGUAAGUUAAUACCUUGCUGUUUUGACGUUACCAACAGAAUAAGCACCGGCUAACUUCGUG